AGGGCCACACCUGCGGCAUAUGGAAGUUUCCACAGGCUAGGGGUUGCAGGGGAGCUGCAGCUGCCAGCCUACACCACAGUCACAGCAACUUGGGAUCCAAGCUGGAUCUGUGACCUACACUGCAGCUUGUAGCAAUGUCAGAUCCAUAAGCCACUGAGUGAGGCCAGGGAUCGAACCCACAUCCUCAUGCACACUAGUCGGGUUUGGAACCUGCUGAGCCACAACGGGAACUCUCAAAGAAAUCCAUUUUUUGUGCUCCUGGACAGGACCUCACCUUGGGUUCUACAGAGCCAGCACUUUGUUCUUAAAGGUCAUUUCAACGAGCCUGACUACUUCAAUAACUGCUGAGCCACAAUGGGAACUCCAGGCUGGGUGGCAGCCAAGGAAAUGAUAACACUCGUUAGCUGCUGUUAGUUGCUGAGCAGCACUCUCUGGGGGCUGAGCGCUCCAUGCCCCCCUCGACUCUGCGAGGAAGGACCCGCUGUGGCAGGUGAGCAAACCGAGGAAUGGCCAGCCACUCUUCCUUCCAGAGGUGCCGGGGCCUUAGCCAAGCAGAGGCCGAAGAACCAGCCGGGGAAGCAGACUGCAGACAGAGGGGCAGACAGACCAGGAUGCUGUCAACGGUGACAUUCUUAAAAAAACACAAGCACCACAAGCCUCCCCACCAGUCCACUGCCGCCCCUCCAGAUGCAGGUUUCAGGGCACGGUGUCAUGCGUCCACCCACCAGACCCAGGCCCAGACCCAGGUUCCACCCCUGGCCGCCCAACCCUUUUUAGGUGUGUGGCCUUUGAAACAAGUUGCUUUCCUUCUCAGCCUCUGUUUUCUUCUCUGUGAAUGUGCUCACUGGAUUGCUGGGUCCCGCCAAGGAAAUGCUCGGGAAGCCAUUCGGCCCAGCAUAGAUCCCGGAGGCUCCCCAGGCGGGCAGGCAGGGGUAGGGCUCGGAGACCCCAUCCUGGUCCUGAACCUACCCCACCCCUUCUAGAGCCAGGACAUGGAACCCUGGGGAUGGGAGUGAAAGGAGUAUACACACACAUGCACACACAAACACACACAAACACACACAGACACAUACAUAAACACAAACACCCCCAAACACACACACACACAUACAUACACACACACACAUACACAACUAGCCUUCUUCAGAACCCAGAGGCUAUUAAAAAAGCACUUGUACAUCUGCCCCAGCCCCAAGGAGGGCACAGGCCAUGACUGCCUGGGGUGGGGAGCACCCCGGGGCCCAGGGUUGGGGGGACAGUCACAGCCUGCCCCCUGCUUCCUGUGCUCCCCGCCCAGGGCCUUGGGGGUCCUGAGAGGACACCUGCCCGCCAUCCUCUCUCCAUCCCUCUAACACAUCUGAUGGCUCAGGACCCAGAGAUUUUCUUCCCAGUUCCCUCCCCCCACCUCAGCAUCUCAGCCUGUAUUCUGAGUCCCAGGAGCAGGGCUCUGUUGUGGCCUGGCCCAAACCCCCCAAAUCAGAGCCUGCCUCUGAGGAAGGUGGAGGGAGCCCAGAGGGCCGAGAGACCCUGGGGCACCCCCCCAAGGCCCUGCCGUCUCCUUCAGCUAACUCUGGCGCCAGCCCAGGACGUUUCCCUCCCCAUCCCCAUUUCAGAGGUGAGGACACUGAGGCUCAGAGCCCUGCUUUGGUAACGCAGGCAACAAUAGGAGACUCGGGAUUCUAGCCCAGGCCUCUUGGCCUUUCAAAUACCUCAGUAGAGGCCAGUGCUGUCCAAGAGAAAUAUAGAAUGUGAGCCACGUAGGCAAAUAGGAACCAUCUGGUAGCCACAUAGAAAGGGGAAAAAAGAAAUGAGUGAAAUUUUAAUAACAAUUCAUAUUUAACUCGAUAUAUCAAAUAUCAGUUCAACAUGUUAUCAAUACAAAAAAUUACUAUUUUUCGCCACACCGACGGCAUGCAGAAGUUCCUAGGCCAGGGAUCAAACCUGUGCCACAGUUGUGACCUGAGCUACAAGCAGUGACAAUGCCAAAUCCUUAAUGGCUAGGCCACCAGGGAACUCCCAGUAU
ensembl:lncRNA